rnacentral:lncRNA from 1 species
GGUUGAGUAGUUAAGUUGUGAUUUUUAAUUGGUCGGGCUAGCCUAGCAUUUGUAUUGGGCUCCAUCACGACCGGAAUUGGGGUCGUGACAAUUAACUAGCGUGCCCAAAGCAAUUUCGCAUUUGUAACUUGCGAAGGACAUGAAAUUUAUCUAAAUGGCAUGCCUCGAAUUCUAAAGAUCAAUACAAAAUUGAUUAAAGCGAAGGCCAAGCGAUUGUUAUUUUUUCUGUGUGGCGUGGCGCAAGUCAUCUAACUAAAUAUUUUAAUCAAUCAAUUGAAGAAAACCAAGGAUUCUGAUUACUUCCAGUUAACAGGUUCUAUUCUAUCAAUUAUCUAGAUAUAAGAGAGCCUAAUGUCCAAAGGGAGGCGUACUAAUUAUCGGCCGAGCCUCUUUUGACGGACACCUUAGAAGUUUGGGCUCAAGAUAAGACCAAGAUUAUGCUGAGAAAUGGCGCUCAAGAGCAUGGUUUUCAAUAUUUAUUAGUUGGUCCUGCAUUAGGCCAAAUUACCAGAUUCCGAAUUGUCAUGCCAAUCGACGAAUCCAGUCGACUAAUAACAACGCAAAGUAUGAAGUCGAAGUAACAAAUCAAACUAUGGUCUAGACAUAGAUCAAUUAAAAUUAGGUUUAUUACAUGAUAUACACAUUACUAGCAAUUCAUGCCAUUAGGCUCAGAAGGCAAGCCCAACAUAUCCACCCCCCGUUUUUCUCUUAUAAAUGGCAAACGAAAAUUAAGACUCAAGAUCGAGUUUGUCCAAGUGUAAUCCUCAACAGAUUAUCAUCCCACUAAACAUUUCCACCAUCUAAUAUACUGACAGAAAUAACAUGAGAUUCAAGCUUUUAUUUCUAAAUGAAUCCCACAAAGCAAACACAGGGAAUGAAAGCUUGCAUAGACCAUUUAUAUGACACUUUCAAUUGAAUAAGACACUACAAAUCCCUCUAAACAUAGAAUAAGACCCUAGACAACAAUUUCACAUAGCAAUUAAAGAAAUGAUGAAACUAGGGUGAAAACUAUCGAAACUAUAACAUGAGUGAACUAAACUAGUAAACAUAUAACCUACAGCAACACAUACUUCCGAAACCAGCCAACUUCAUCAAUCAGCUUAGUGAUCACAUUACUCAAUUAUACAUGUACAAACUAGAAUGGCAAUUCCAGUUUUCAAUCAUAUUUAAAUGAAGUCUCACCCUUAGGAUAAACAGAUACUACAAAUGAUCAUACUUAAGUACUUAAGCUAGCAUGGGAUAUAAACCAAAAUACAACAAACAACAUGGAUAACUGAAUAAUGAGGGAUUUACACUUACAAUUUCAUGAUUUAAAUUACAUGCCUCAUACAAAAAACGAAACCCAAACUUCAUUUCAGUUUCAUAUACUUCAAACAUCUCAUACAAAAAUUCAGAUCCAUAACUUCAGCUUAUCAUUCAGUAAGUUCUGAAGAAAUACCUGGAAGAAAGAAAGCAGCAGAAGAAGAGAGUAAGAUUAGCAAGUUUACAACAUCAGUAACAAGGCAGGAAUCAAUAGCAAACGAGACCCCAACUUCAGAAAUGAACCAGGAAUUAAUUUCUAGCCAAUGGAACAGUAAUUCUCCCCCAAAAUUCUCAGCUUUUUCUCAAUGUGUAUUCCUGAAUAUAUAGCUUUUCAACUCUGAGUCUAUGUAUGUUUCUAGUUCCAUAAACUCUAUCUGUGUUACACCCUGAGUGACUCAAAAUUGAUUGAGUAGAUUAGGGUUUGAAAAGACUUCAAAGAGAGAAACCAAUCAAACAGUAAAAUAUGCAGCUGUUUUGUGAUUUUCAACUCUCAAUCUCUCAGUGUUUUCGAAGUGUUCCAGCUCUUCUCACUCUUAAGCUCUAUCUCUCAAUGUAUAUCCUUUCAGAAUAUGUGUUUGUGUGUGUCUAUUUAAAGACUAGAACCAAUCCUUUUUUUAUUCAAACCUUUCACUUUUGAGCCUGUACAUCCCCUUAGCACAUACAUCCUCUACCCUUUUAUAAUUAACCUAUGCUUGUUUUCUGAUUUUCCACUAACAAAAGUACUUAACAGGGUGUCAGCCCCACUAAUGAUCCAUUUUCAAUAGUUUAACCUAUUAAUUUAGUAGUGUUGGCAUACCACUUAUCUUAAACCAUUUAACAAACUCUUAUUCUCAAUUGGCAUACCACUUAUCUUAAACCAUUUAAUAUGCUCUUAUUCUCAAAUUAAAUCCUUUAAACCUGUGCUACUAAAUUUGAACCAAUCCUAUUAAUUAUCCCUUCCCGUUACUAAAAUUCCUUAAGAUGAGCUAUUAAGUAACAACAUAUUAUUCAGGGCCAUUCAACAAACAUACAUGAACCACAUAAAAAUCCUAAUUCAAACAAUUGCAGUGUGCCUACUCCAGAAAAAACUCAAACAACGUAAUAAAUCUAGAUUGUUUGCAAAAUUAAAUAACGAAUAAGUUAACAGUUUCAACAACAAACCUAAUAUUAAUUCUAACCAAUUGUCUGAGAGAAUAGAAAAAUAAAAAAAGAAGGAGAAGAAGAAGAAAAGACCAAAUUACAGAAAUCUAACAAGAAACUUGCCUGACCAAAAUCGAACCCAUCGACUUUAAUUUUCCGAUUUGAUCUCCAAAUAACUUCCCUCGCUCGUUCACUGUCAGGAACAAGCGAGUAUCGUUAUUUUGAUACUUAAUCGACUUUAUCUCUUUAGCCUAUUGCCCGAAAAAAGCAAAGUUUAUCUAGGCUUUCUAGGGUUCAAACCCUAGAUGUGAUAUUCGAGCCUUUAUGGUGAGAUUUGGGGGAAGCUGGUAAGGGAUUUGGGUGAGGUAGUCCGGUGAUUGUAUGGUAUCAAUUUGAGGUCAAUCGGGUAAACUAGGGUUCAACCAGACUUCUUCGAUUUGAGAUUCGAGAAACCUGGUCAAUAUUCGAGGGGAAGUGUUUGGAUAUUUGGAAUGGGGAGGUUGAGGCAAGGCUAGGGUGUUAAUUUGGAAGUCAUCGGCGAAGACGCCACCGGGUUCAGGGCGUUGGAGAGGGGUGGCAGCUGCUAGGGUUUGGGUCGUUUGGUCUCAGAUAUUGGAGACGAAGGGGAUGACGGGGCUUCAAAGGGGCGGGGGUCUAUAUAUAU